rnacentral:rRNA from 1 species
UCAGGACGAACGCUGGCGGCGUGCCUAAUACAUGCAAGUCGAACGGUCUUUCUAUGGAAGCUUGCUUCCACUGAGAAGAUAGUGGCGAACGGGUGAGUAACACGUGGGUAACCCUGCCCAUAAGAGGGGGGAUAACAUCCGGAAACGGGUGCUAAUACCGCAUAGUUUUCUUGAUCGCAUGAUCGGGAAAGGAAAGACGGCCUUUGUGCUGUCGCUUAUGGAUGGACCCGCGGCGUAUUAGUUAGUUGGUGAGGUAACGGCUCACCAAGACGAUGAUACGUAGCCGACCUGAGAGGGUGAUCGGCCACAUUGGGACUGAGACACGGCCCAAACUCCUACGGGAGGCAGCAGUAGGGAAUCUUCCGCAAUGGACGAAAGUCUGACGGAGCAACGCCGCGUGAGUGAAGAAAAGGUUUUCGGAUCGUAAAACUCUGUUGUCAGAGAAGAACAAGUUGGAGAGUAACUGCUCCAGCCUUGACGGUAUCUGACCAGAAAGCCACGGCUAACUACGUGCCAGCAGCCGC